rnacentral:rRNA from 1 species
UACGUAGGGUGCAAGCGUUAAUCGGAAUUACUGGGCGUAAAGCGUGCGCAGGCGGUUAUACAAGACAGGCGUGAAGUCCCCGGGCUUAACCUGGGAAUGGCGUCUGUGACUGUAUGACUAGAGUGUGUCAGAGGGGGGUAGAAUUCCACGUGUAGCAGUGAAAUGCGUAGAUAUGUGGAGGAAUACCAAUGGCGAAGGCAGCCCCCCUGGGAUAACACUGA